GACGAACCGUGCGAACGUUGUUCGGAAUCACUGGGCUUAAAGGGCGCGUAGGCGGCUCGCGAGGUCGGGGGGUGAAAUCCCGCAGCUUAACUGCGGAAGGGCCUCCGAUACCGGCGGGCUGGAGGAAGGUAGGGGUGCGCGGAACUUCUGGUGGAGCGGUGAAAUGCGUUGAUAUCAGAAGGAACGCCGGCGGCGAAAGCGGCGCACUGGACCUUUUCUGACGCUGAGGCGCGAAAGCUAGGGGAGCAAACGGGG
rnacentral:rRNA from 1 species